GACGAACGCUGGCGGCGUGCUUAACACAUGCAAGUCGAACGGAAAGGCCCUGCUUUUGUGGGGUGCUCGAGUGGCGAACGGGUGAGUAACACGUGAGUAACCUGCCCUUGACUUUGGGAUAACUUCAGGAAACUGGGGCUAAUACCGGAUAGGAGCUCCUGCUGCAUGGGGGGGAUUGGAGAGUUUCGGAGGUGGUGGAUGGAAUCGCGGCUAAUCAGCUGGUUGGUGGGGUAGUGGCUUACCAAGGCUUUGACGGGUAGCCGGCCUGAGCGGGUGACCGGCCACAUGGGGACUGAGAAAGGGCGCAGACUGCAACGGGAGGAAACGGUGGGGAAUAUUGCGAAAUGGGAGGAAGAGUGAUGUAAAACUGCCGCGAGCGAGAAGACGGCCUUCGAGUUGUAAACAGCUUUAUCCUGUGACGAGGCGUGAGUGACGGUAAUGGAUAAAGAAGCACCGGCUAACUACGUG
rnacentral:rRNA from 1 species